rnacentral:rRNA from 1 species
UCCGUAGGAUGCAAGCGUUGUCCGGUUUUAUUGGGUUCAAAGGGUGCGUAGGCGGCCUAUUAAGUUAGUGGUGAAAACGUUCGGCUUAACCGGAUACCCGCCAUUGAUACUGAUAGACUUGAGUGCGACAGAGGGUGUUGGAAUGUGUGGUGUAGCGGUGAAAUGCUUAGAUAUCACGCAGAACACCAAUUGCGAAGGCAGAUGCCUAUGUCGUAACUGACGAUGAGGCACGAAAGCGUGGGGAGCAAACAGG